UCGGGACUGACGGGGCUCGAACCCGC
rnacentral:tRNA from 1 species